GCUUUCUGGCUGUGGGUUGAGUAUACCUUGGGCAUUCUCAAAUCUCUCCAGUGGCCUUCCCCUGAAUCUUUCCUUCCAAGUUCAACUGAGCAGGGGGAUUCCAGCCGUGAGGAUCUGCCAUUGCACACCUGCCUCUUCGUUUGCACGUCUCCUCUCACCACCGCCUUUGAUAAGGGAGUUGUGCCUGGUUCAUCACAGCCAUCAAAGGAGGAAAACACAGAGGCAUGCCUGACCCAGCACUAGAGAAGUUAGGAUACACAUCCCAGAAAUGCCACAGGAAUCUCUUUACUUCCAUCAAGGAGAACCCACAUGCAGCCAUGGAAAACACGCGGGCUCUGAAAUUUUAAACUUUUUUGGUCUCAAAGCCCAGGCAUCAUCAUCAACUUUGCACUGUUUGUUUUCUCACUUUUCAAGGUGGGGAAUAUUCCCUCCUACACAGGUGGUCAUGGGGUGCAAUUAGGGUAGAAUGGGGUGUGCAGUCAGUGACUUUCUUUUCUAGACUUGGGGAAGAUCUGAUAGGGUUUAUUUUUCUUCAGGGUCUUUGAGGCUGAAUUCAGAUAUGCAUCUUCCCUAAAAAGAGAUGGCAGCCUGGGGCACCGUUUGCGUGGAAGGGUUAAUAAGAGUUGAAGAUUAUUUUAAGUAAAAAGAACCAGGCCCUGGUGAGAAGCAGAAGGAACCAGAAGGGUGCUAGAGGGCUUCCAUGGAGCUUGUGGCUUCUGAGAAGAGCUCUAGCAGACUGACUGAAAAAGGAUUUGGAGAUGUCACCAUACUUUGUGGGCUGCUACUGGAACAGAAAUGGGUGGGAAAAGACAAACCAAAUCCUCUGCCUGUUCUUGCAGUGAACAGUAGCAGAAGUGAGUCCUCAAUGUGGUCUCUGAGCAGAGCUGGACCGGUCAGUGCCUAGAUAUGCCAACUCCCUUUUCUUGUCGGGCAUUUUUCCUUGAUUCCUUUUCCCUAGCAAGGACGAGAGCAGCUUUCAGCUGCCUCGACACAAAGGACUCUGGGUAAUGUACAUAAGUGCGAGUUUACAAGGCUGGGAGAUUCACCUCUCUGGGAAGUUGUCUUAGGGCUUCUGUUGCUAUGAUUCGCUUGUAUCAAGUUGACAUAAAAACUAGCUGGCCCAGAAGCUAUGGAUGAAGGAGUUAAUUUGAUUAAAAGAAGAAUCAUUAGUCAGUACUAAAGUUGAAGUCUUCAAUGACAUUAAAUACAGAAGGGACAAGAAGAGGCAGGGCAGGAAGAAUACAGAAGGGACAAGAAGAGGCAGGGCAGGAAGAACCAGUCUUUAUUGCCCUUGCUAAGAACUCUGAGGUAGUGAAAGGCACUGGAAUCAGCUCCAAGAAUGUCACAAUCUUUAUGAAUGAAUAUUGAUGACUGGCUUGUAAGUUUGUGGUAUUGUUACAUCUCUCUCUCUUUUUUUUUUCUUUCCCUCUCUGCUAUGGUGACUUGUCUUGCUUUGAGAAUUUUUUUUUCUUCUUUUAAGGUAAGAUUUCAUUCAGCAUACAUGUGCCGAAGGCCAGACGCAGUUCUAGCUCCUUGAUACACUCAAUUGAACAGUCUGCUCUGCUAUUCACUCUAGUGUGCUGUAGGAUCAGAAAGUCAGUAGUGUGUGAGAAAGAAGCCCGAAAUAAGGCUGCUUGUCAAUGGGCUGUCUAUUCCCUCUACUUCUACCCCUUCCUUGACUCCAGAAAUGAACUCAUCUCUCCAGCCAGAGAAAUUAUACAGUUAGCCACAUUGCAGAUCCCUUGGAUAAAGCAAGCCAUGUCUCAGAAGCUGAGAUGGGACAGAUGAUAACCACCUUGUUCCUGUUUCCAAGUUGAGUCUUUUCCUCCCAGUUGCUUCUGGAUUGAGGGGCAGGUUUUCAUUUUGCAACUCAAAGGCAACUUACAUGUAGUAAAUACACAAGGCACAGGAGUACAGAGACAUCAUCACAUAACUAGACAUACAGGUGACAUUUUCUCAGAUAAACACAGUCCCAUAUCCCAGAAGGUGCCUGAGUGCCGGUGGCACCAUUCUGUGAAAGGCAAGUCCUUCUGAGUUUGUGCCUCUAUCCCUCACACUUCUCAGGUAUAAUGAACAGGGGAUAAGACCCACCCAUCAACACAAGAAGGCAGAGAUGGUAUCCCAUGUCGAGAGUCCACUUCCUUAUAUGUCUGAGACUGCAAGGAUGUGGCCAGGUUUUCUCUGCUCUGGCAUCCUUUAUUCUAAGGAAACCAAAGCAAGAUUUCUGUCCAAAGGCUUUUGCUCUAUGAACUGGAAUCCACAUCUCUCAUCCUUACUGGUGCUUUGAGCCUUCCAUGCCUGGCUAUUGUGAUCAAAAGAUUUGUGGAUAUCGAUGAGUCUAAAAUCUAUUUUUGAGGUAUUGGUAUAAAUUGUCCUAGUUCUCAAAGCAGCCUGUGGAUAGUUUUCUUCAGAGUCACUAACCUAGGCUGCUGGCUGAGCCUAGAUCUCUGUUUCCUCAUUAGGACCAGACUUCCCUUGUGUACUUUGGGGAAGUGGAUGACUCCUGUUUUCUUGGACAUUUUCAUUCCUCCAUUCUGUUAUUCAGAAUGUUAAAUGGGAUGUGCUGAAGGCGUAGCUCACUUACCUAGCUCAUGUGAGGUCCUGGAUCUAGUCUCCGUAGAGCUGAAGGAAUGAAUGUUGGCAAAAGUGAAGCGUCUCUUUGGGUGGGUUCGGCGUCAAGCCAUCAGUUGUUAGCUACAAAAGAAAUAAUUUUCCCUUGGGGGUAUUUACUUCUGGUUGACUCUUCUGACUCCCACAUGCACGCCUGUGCUCAUCUCUUAAGUUGCCUCUUGCAAGUUGCUCACCCUGUCAAAAUCCCUUCACCUGGAGUUUAUAACCAACGGGGUUUUAUACGUGGGCAGUUAGGAAGAUGUGUGUUGAAGAGUUUUGUUCAUAUUUGCUGUUAUUUAUUUUGUAAAUUAAAAAUGGAAAUGUAUUUUAAAAGUUUGUUUUACGUAUAGCUGGUUAUUGUUCUUAGAUUAAUAAAAUGAGAUCAUGGAGUUUGUAUGGGUUUUCCCUAUGGACAGCUCCUUCAGGACCCUUCACCCUCAGGACCCCUUGGGCUCAUUCCAUUACGAGUGCCUGUUGAGAUGUCUACUGUGGGAUCCCAGUGUCUGUCUUACACAGAACUAAUAAAAUCUGCAGUCUGCUCAUUUCUAUUUGCCCUGCCCAUCC
rnacentral:lncRNA from 1 species